rnacentral:rRNA from 1 species
UACGUAGGGUGCGAGCGUUAAUCGGAAUUACUGGGCGUAAAGCGUGCGCAGGCGGUUCUGAAAGUCAGCUGUGAAAGCCCCGGGCUUAACCUGGGAAUGGCGGUUGAAACUACAGGACUAGAAUCUGGCAGAGGGGGGUGGAAUUCCACGUGUAGCAGUGAAAUGCGUAGAUAUCAGUCGGAACACCGGUGGCGAAGGCGGCUUCUUGGGCCAUUUCUGACGCUGAGGCGCGAAAGCUAGGGGAGCGAACGGG